GACGAACGCUGGCGGCGUGCCUAAUACAUGCAAGUCGAGCGGACUGAAUGGGAGCUUGCUCUUGUUCGGUCAGCGGCGGACGGGUGAGUAACACGUGGGCAACCUGCCCGCAAGACCGGGAUAACUCCGGGAAACCGGAGCUAAUACCGGAUAACACCGAAGACCGCAUGGUCUUUGGUUGAAAGGCGGCGCAAGCUGCCACUUGCGGAUGGGCCCGCGGCGCAUUAGCUAGUUGGUGAGGGAACGGCUCACCAAGGCGACGAUGCGUAGCCGGCCUGAGAGGGUGACCGGCCACACUGGGACUGCGACACGGCCCAGACUCCUACGGGAGGCAGCAGUAGGGAAUCUUCCGCAAUGGGCGAAAGCCUGACGGAGCGACGCCGCGUGAGCGAAGAAGGCCUUCGGGUCGUAAAGCUCUGUUGUGAGGGACGAAGGAGCGCCGUUUGAAGAAGGCGGCGCGGUGACGGUACCUCACGAGGAAGCCCCGGCUAACUACGUG
rnacentral:rRNA from 1 species